AUGGGGAUUCUUGCUCUUACAUCAAAUUUUGUUAAUGCAUCAUCCCCCGGGGCUUUUAUGAAAAAGGGGGGUUGGUCCCACCCUCCCAGGGGAUUUGUGAAACUUAAUGUUGACGCUUCUUUUGACCACGACCUCCUGAAGGGCACAAUAGGGGCGCUCCAGAGAGACGACAAAGGACGGAGGACGGUCGGCGGGUGCGACGGCGGCAAUCUUCGAUGA
rnacentral:rRNA from 1 species